AUUAGAAAUAGUUGAUUAAUAUUGAGAUUAAGAAUUUAAGACGUCAUUUGAGAGACAUUUGUAGCACAUUGAGUAAACAUAAUAUUUUGACUAGUGACAUCACAGUUGCUUGUUGUAUAGUUGAAUUGAUGGCAAUUACAUUUUAAAUCAAUCUCAAAUUAAAUUAAUUCAAUUCGAAAUUAAUUUUGUAUUUGCACAACACGACACUUAAUGCGUGACCUCGUGAUAAAAUCUCGUCAAUAGCUCCGCCCCAAAUAGGAAGUCAUGCACAACCAUUGUUCAACCAUUUGUUUUGCCAGGGAAAAGGUAAACGUGGAGGAUACGAGUAGAUUUAGAUAAAGUCUAAACACUUGCGUUCUAAACAAAGUUAAAGAUUUACUAGCAAAUGACAAUGGAGAAUGCUGCCCACCUUCAAAGUCAGCUAACCUCUCUCAUGAACGCGGUAAUGAGGGCAGCGGUCGUGGAAAUAGUCAGACUUGUAGAGGGCAGCGCCGUGGCCCUUCGCGAAGAGUUGUCCAAGAGUAAACGGGAGAACGAAGCACUGAAAGCCGAGAACGAGUCGAAUAAAAAUAAGAUGCAAAAUUUGGAAGCAAAACUAGCUGCAGAGCAGCGUUCUGUCGGUUGUCAUGUAGCCGAAGCUGGUGGCGAUCCGUUUUUCCAAACAAAGGAAGAUGUUAAGGCUUGUGCAGAGAAGACCCGUGCAAGGCUGCAAUCUUUGGAGCCAGCAGGCCAAUCCCAGGCUACAGCUUUCAAUAAAGGGGAAGGCCUAAAAGUUGUUGCCACGGAGAAGGAUGGAAUAAAAGUACUUCGCAUCAAGAAGGAAAUAAAUGAAGGCACAGAACAUGACACACCAUGUCCAAUGACAGGUGAGCAGCCGUGUCCCAAAGUGGACAUGGUGUACGGCAAGGAGUGGAGCCAAAGCCUGUGGCGAGACGGAAAAGAAAUAGGAGACCAUAGCGACAGAACAGAGGAGAAAGAAACUCCAGGACCGUCAAUGACCCAGCAUCAGAACGGAGGUCCACUUCAGUGCAGUAAGCUGAAUCCAUCCACUCCUAACUUCAAAGUCUUCUGUGAUCCUGAACGAGACACGUAUCUCGACUAAUGACUUGAGGGAAUUUCUGAAUUCUGUUCUCCUUGUCACUGACUGGUCAUGACAGAUAGACGGCAACGUUAAGGAUCCUUGUCUUUACUUACUGGUUGGCCCACGGGACCUCCUAUAAAACUGUCUCAGAGACUUUCGGAAUCCCUCUGUCCAAUGCUACCUGACUCGUCCGCGACGUUGUGGACAAACUGGCCAAGCUGUCCCCUCUUCAGACGAGCUGGCUCUCAUGGUGGGUUUCGGGAAACUGGCCCUUCACCGGAGGUUUGAGAAGGCUGUGGGGGGCCAUAGUCGUGUGCCACGUCAGGGUCAAGAUCCCCAGUGCACCAUUCCCCCAACAAUGUCAAGGUGAGAAGCCCCUCCCCACCAUCAACUUCCAAGGGGUCUGCGACCACACAUGCCGCUUCAUCAAUGUCUUCGUGGGGCUGCCUGGGUCUAUGAGCGACUUGAAGGUGCUCAGGCAUAGUCCCCUGUGGAAAAGUGCUCCGAAGCACGACCAGUUUAACCAGCACCGUGCCAUGGCUCUCUUCUACUAACCGAGAGGACCUUCGACAUGAGAAAGUGCUGACACAUCUUCCUCCAGCCCCUCAAGCUCCACCCAAGCUUCAUCCCGAAAGUGCUUGCAAUGUGCACUGUGCUGCAUAACAUCUGCCUCCGGUCCGGGGACGUGCUGGAGCCAGUAAAGGUUGAGGACAGAAACAAGGUGACUGAGGCUCUGAAGGAGUGGCUAGUGUCGAAUGAGACCAGCAGAGAGGCGUUGAGGGACAGUUUGGCUUAACAGAUCUCUACAAUGAAAUGAAUGGCCUCAGUGAAUGAUGUGCAAGGGACAUCUGCACCGGCAAACAUGGCGGCAGUGCAAAAAGAAUAGGCUUACAACAUAGUGGUGAUGGAGAUUGAUUACUUCAGGAGCCCAUAAGCGGUGGUGGAACUGUCACUGCCGACCUUCUACGUUUUUCCUAAAACAAUUUAGCAAAGUCACCUCUCCUAUUCUAAUGCUAAUAUACAGUUCCAUGUAUAAGAUCCUCCACUUUAUUUCAAAUUUUUAUACUGUACAUGGUGAAGUGAAACACGAUUGAUUUUUUUUGUUGUUGGUAUGGUGUGAAUGUGGGACUGGUAUUCUAACUAUUAACUUGUUUUUUAAAAUAAUUGUUAUUACUGUAUGCAUAAUAAAAGCAUCCCCUGUGGUCUGCAGUGCAGCCCUGGAUGUGGUAUGCAUAUGUCUUUGAUAAAGCCUUCUUCAUUGUGUCACUUAAAGGGACAUUUUACCUUAGCGGAAAAUACAUGAUAAGUUCAUUAUGCCAGGCGUAUUUCAAACACUAAUGCAUUGUAUACCAGUGAUGAAACAGACCAAACCAUCCUUGUAUUCUUAUGUCGUUACUGAAUGCUUUUACCUUGUGUGGUGUUCGGGUCUGCGGGACCCAUUUUCAAUGUUUACUAAAAUGAAAAACCUGAGACUCAUUGGCCUUGGCUCAUUUUCUGUGAACAACAUGUAAAAUAACACAUUUUCAUUGAGUGCACACUGUGUACUCCCCUACACAUCUAUAUUACAUACAGUGGGGGGGAAAAGUAUUUGAUCCCCUGACGAUUUUGUACGUUUGCCCACUGAUAAAGUAUCAGCCUAUAAUUUUAAUGGUAGGUUUAUUUGAACAGUGAGAGACAGAAUAACAACAAAAAUAUCCAGAAAAACGCAUGUCAAAAAUGUUAUAAAUUGAUUUGCAUUUUAAUGAGGGAAAUAAGUAUUUGACCCCCUCUCAAUCAGAAAGAUUUCUGGCUCCCAGGUGUCUUUUAUACAGGUAACGAGCUGAGAUUAGGAGCACACUCUUAAAGGGAGUGCUCCUAAUGCUUGUUACCUGUAAAAAAGACACCUGUCCACAGAAGCAAUCAAUCAGAUUCCAAACUCUCCACCAUGGCCAAGACCAAAGAGCUCUCCAAGGAUGUCAGGGACAAGAUUGUAGACCUACACAAGGCUGGAAUGGCCUACAAGACCAUCGCCAAGCAGCUUGGUGAGAAGGUGACAACAUUUGGUGCGAUUAUUCGCAAAUGGAAGAAACACAAAAGAACUGUCAAUAUCCCUCGGCCUGGGGCUCCAUGCAAGAUCUAACCUCGUGGGGUUGCAAUGAUCAUGAGAACGGUGAGGAAUCAGCCCAGAUCUACACGGGGGGAUCUUGUCAAUGAUCUCAAGGCAGCUGGGACCAUAGUCACCAAGAAAACAAUUGGUAACACACUACGCCGUGAAGGACUGAAAUCCUGCAGUGCCCGCAAGGUCCCCCUGCUCAAGAAUACAUAUACAUGCCUGUCUGAAGUUUGCCAAUGAACAUCUGAAUGAUUCAGAGGACAACUGGGUGAAAGUGUUGUGGUCAGAUGAGACCAAAAUGGAGCUCUUUGGCAUCAACUCAACUUGCCGUGUUUGGAGGAGGAGGAAUGCUGCCUAUGACCCCAAGAACACCAUCUCCACCGUCAAACAUGGAGGUGGAAACAUUAUGCUUUGGGGUGUUUUUCUGCUAAGGGGACAGGACAACUUCACCGCAUCAAAGGGACGAUGGACGGGGCCAUGUACCGUCUAAUCUUGGGUGAGAACAUCCUUCCCUCAGCCAGGGCAUUGAAAAUGGGUCGUGGAUGGGUAUUCCAGCAUGACAAUGACCCAAAACACACGGCCAAGGCAACAAAGGAGUGGCUCAAGAAGAAGCACAUUUAGAUCCUGGAGUGGCCUAGCCAGUCUCCAGACCUUAAUCCCAUAGAAAAUCUGUGGAGGGAGCUGAAGGUUCGAGUUGCCAAACGUCAGCCUCAACCUUAAUGACUUGGAGAAGAUCUGCAAAGAGGAGUGGGACAAAAUCCCUCCUGAGAUGUGUGCAAACCUGGUGGCCAACUACAAGAAACGUCUGACCUCAGUACUUGGUGGCAAAACCCUUGUUGGCAAUCACAGUCAUGUUUUGCAGAGGGGUCAAAUACUUAUUUCCCCCAUUAAAAUGCAAAUCAUUUUAUAACAUUUUUUACAUGCGUUUUUUUUCAGGAUUUUUUUGGUUAUUCUGUCUCACUGUUCAAAUAAACCUACUAUUAAAAUUAUAGACUGAUCAUUUCUUUGUAAGUGGGCAAACGUACAAAAUCAGCAGGGGAUCAAAUACUUUUCCCCCCUACUGUAUGUGGUGUUCGGGUUCACUGGACCAGAGGGUAAUAAAAGUGUGUUUGUAGGUGAAAACAAAAAAGGUUUGCGAUGUGCCUUCACUCCGUCUUCCUCCUCCCUGCGUGUGCUGUUUCAACAGCACCAAGACCCUAUAUGUCUCCCUGCCUGUCUCCCGCUUUUCUCGCACUUUUUACCCUUUGUGGUGUGUGAAAGUACACAAUGUCUUGCCUGGAACCUGCACAAUGUUAUUACAAUAAAUUAUUUUGAUACGUUGUAAAAAAUGCAGUAUUUUCCUACACUCUUCCCCAGCCAGGUGCAAAUUGGGGGAGGGACACAACAAAUAAAUAGCUUUGCGUGUGUGUCUCCUUACAACAAUCAUUCAGUAUGGCAAAAAUCAUCUCUGCUCAGAGGGCCUUUAGAAAUCAUUUUUGCAGAGAGAGAAGCUAGUCUUGAAGGAGUGUCUUCCACUUUGGAAGAUUAAGAAUUUUCCAAAUAUGAGGAUCAUGUCUCUGUCAAUUUGGAGUCUGACAGUUAGUUGGAAGAGGAGGAUGAGAUUGACCCGCAGCCAGCCCUAGGACCAGCCUGUCAACGGUCUGCAGGAGGAGAAAUAUAGAUGUCAAAAUUGUUUGAAAUUGAAUGGUCUUCUUGACCAAGGAAUGAGCCACCCCGCAUGGCUGCCAAUGUGAUACGGAUGCAACCAGGGCCGACGCGGAUGGCGGAUACUCAUGUGCAGGACAUAGUCUUCUAAUGAACUGUUCAUCCCAGACACCAUCCAGAAAAUCAUUCUGGACUGCACUAAUUUGGAGGGAAGGUAUGUUUUAGGAGAGGGAUGGAAGGAGAUGGACCAAACUCAUUUACAUGCAUACUUUGGGGUUCUUAUCCCUGCUGGUGUUUUCAGAUCGAAUGGUGAAUCCACAGAAUCCCUGUGGGAUGCAGAAACUGGCAGAGAACCAUUCUGUGCAACAAUGUCUCUGGAAAACUUCCACAUUAUUUCCAGCAUUAUCUGCUUCGAUAACCGAGACACCAGACCAGCUCAGCAGCAGAGAGACAAGCUAGCUGCAAUCAAGUCAGUGUGGGACAAGUGGAUGGACAGCCUCCCACUGUUUUACAACCCUGGGCCCAACGUUACUGUUGAUGAGCAGGUUACGCCAUUUAGGGGCCGCUGCCCCUUCAGGCAGUACAUACUGUCUAAACUCGCAAAAUAUGUAAUCAAGAUCUGGGCUGCCUGUGUUGCUGCUUCAUCAUAUGCAUGGAACUUCUAAGUGUAUACGGAAGCCAGAUGGAGCCUCUGAGAGGGACCAAGGGAUGCAGGUUGUCCUGGACGUGACACAGGGACUCUGUGGCCACAACAUCACCUGCGAUAACUUUUUUAAUUUUUUACUUCGCAAGCUGGGACAGGAGCUCCUCAAGAGGAAGCUGACAAUGGUAGGAGGGAUAUGAAAAAAACAAGUCAGAGCUCCCACCUCAGCUGUUGAAUACACAGAACAGGCCUAUCAAUUCCUCUGUCUUCACGGCCGACAUGUCCCUACUGUCCUACCUGCCAAAGAAAGGCAAAAAUGUGGUGCUCUUGAGAACGCUGCAUAGGGAUGGGAGAAUUUGUGCCCAGAAAUCAUAAUGGAUUACAAUGCCACAAAAGGAGGGGUGGACAAUUUAGACAAGCUGGUGACUGGCUACAGCUGCAAAAAGAAGAACCCUACGCUGGCCACUUGUGAUAUUCUUGGACAUCUCAGCAUACAACACUUAUGUCAUGUGGAAAGCGUUGAACCCAGAUUGGAACAGAGGGAAGCUCCCGGCUCAUUCUCGAGGAGCUGGGCAAGGCAUUGGUAAGACCACAAAUCCAGAGGAAGCAACAUCCCAAGGACCCUUGCUUCUGCAGCCAUCGUGAGGAGGAUGCUGGUGCGCCAUCCGCCCGACCCACGGAAUCAACUACUCCAAUACCGGAAAUUGCAACUGGUAGCAACAAGAAGAAGCGCUGCGAUGUGUGUGGACCCAAGAAGGACAGGAAGACACAGUACACAUGCGUCAAGUGCAAGAAAUACAUUUGCAGCACACAUACAGUAAAACUCUGUCCCUCAUGUGAAAAGGAGAAUUGUACAUUAUGCGGAUGAUUGGAUUGAAGAGGACUGGAUUAAAGAGGAGGGCGUACCAGUGGAAACCAAUGAAAGUAUUGAUACUUCAGUCAUCCCAUUCAUGGCGGACAGUGAUUUGUCAGAGUAUGGAGACGGACUGUCCACACUUUGCAGCCAAGCGAAUUACAUGGAUGCCAUGACAGAGAGCUUGAAAGGCAGAUUAGGGUCUGUUAGGGAUAAACAAACCACACGAUUAAAAACUGGAUUGUUGGGGAAUACCAAUGCCAAGAAGAAACAGAGAAUAAUUGAACUAGGCUG
rnacentral:lncRNA from 1 species